rnacentral:rRNA from 1 species
UACGUAGGGUGCGAGCGUUAAUCGGAAUUACUGGGCGUAAAGCGUGCGCAGGCGGUCUGUUAAGACCGAUGUGAAAUCCCCGGGCUCAACCUGGGAACUGCAUUGGUGACUGGCAGGCUUUGAGUGUGGCAGAGGGAGGUAGAAUUCCACGUGUAGCAGUGAAAUGCGUAGAGAUGUGGAGGAAUACCGAUGGCGAAGGCAGCCUCCUGGGCCAACACUGACGCUCAUGCACGAAAGCGUGGGGAGCAAACAGG